GCUUAGGUGGGCGCCGUUCUGGUGCGGCUCCCUUGCGGAGCUGCGCUGUUCGGCGGGCUGCCUUGCCGGCUCUCUUUCCCACCUUCGGGCGGGGAACAGGGCCCCUGCGCGGUCGACUUGCUUUUAUCCAACCUACAAACACCAAAUAAUCAAACUGAAAACAGACGCAGUCGGCUCUGCCGGCUGCCAAUCAAACAAAUACAACUCUCAACAACGGAUAUCUUGGCUCCCGCAUCGAUGAAGAACGCAGCGAAAUGCGAUACGUAGUGUGAAUUGCAGAAUUCCGUGAAUCAUCGAAUCUUUGAACGCAUAUUGCGCUCGAGACUCCGGUCAAGAGCAUGUCUGGCUCAGCGUCGUUUCACCCACUCGCCACCUUUACCCUCUUUCCUCGGACGGAGCGGCAUAGGAAGGCGGACCUGGCUUUCCCCGUGACUCUCCUGACGAACGGGGUCGGCUGAAGAACAGAGGCUUGAGCAUGGCGCCGCACGAUUGCAGCCGGCUUGGUAGGUGGCUCACGCUACAUGCCGCCGGAGGCCGCAGCGCCGUGCUGUUAAGGCCCGCAGGAACCGACCCACCGCGGUCGGACACUCAA
rnacentral:rRNA from 1 species